UCAUACGUUUCACCACCGCUACUUUGCAAAACCCUAGAAAACUCUUCAGAUCUUGAAUCCCAAUCGUAAUCUACUCUUCUUCGAUCGUCGCCACCCAAAAGUUGCCUCUAAAGAUUGUAUUCAUGGUAAGUUUAUGUAUCCGAUUCGAAGUUCUUGACAUUUGAUUUUGAUAUAUUCGUUUUCAACUGUUAGUCAGAAAGCCUACUUGCCAUGGGAGAUUAUGAUCGGAUUUCUGUUCGUGAAGCUCUUGGAGGCGGCGCAGUUGGAAGUUGAAGUGCGGCUAGGAAUUUCGUCGAACAUGGGAUGACUGACGAAAAACUAUGUAAUGUUUCCGAAGAGGCCUAUGCUCCAUAUUAACUCCCUGUGUUUACGAAAGGCUAUUUAUUUAUUUUCGACAAGAAGCCAGCUCAUUUGCUGAUAAGCCAGUUUGCUUGAUAUGAUAUCAUUGGGGAAGUCGCGAAGGUUAUUUAUUUAUUUUCGACAAUUUCUGUUUUUGUGAAUUUUUGAGUUGCUAACAAGAUUCAUAUGUAUCCAUUGUUGUUUCCUCUUCGUUUGAAACGACCUUGGUAUCCCGGACCUUCAUCUUUUCAAGUUGCACGGAUCCAGAGACUUGCAAGCGCCAGAUUAGUGAAGAUUUUCAGCAGGAGAAAUGUUCUAUAGAUAAUUAAGUCAUAUAUUGCUUACAAACUUUAUGUUACAUUAUUAAUAUUUAUUCGUAUUUAUCAAAUACAUAAGAUCUUACGUUGGUUAGUUACUUAUUAUAUGUAUAGGUACUUUCAAAUACUUUUCUUGAUCGUGGGUUUGUUCGAAAAUCUUGAAAUAGCGUUAGACUCAUUGGCUGUUUGUUGGGCAAUACUUAGAGGUGUGUUGAUGAUAUCAAUCGGGUUUAAUGCUGCCACAAGGUAUUAAGCUGGACGCCUAGAGCGCUAUACUUUCCCGGAUUUGCCACAGCGGAACAGUGUGAAAGUAUAAUCAAGAUGGCGAAAGUAAAACUUGCGCCUUCAAAUUUGGCUUUACGAAAGGGAGAAACGGCUGAAAAUACCAAGGGGAUUAGAACAAGGUAUUGAUAUAGCGUUACCUGUAUGAGGAAAGCUAAAUUAAAAGUUUGGACAUGUUCAUAAGUGCAUCUGAGGACAAAACGGGGAUCUUGGAUCAAAUUGAGAAGAAAAUAGAACGGGCUACAGUUAUCCCAAGAAGUCACGGAGAGAUUAACAUUGCGAUCUGUUGAACAAAGGGACGAAGUUUGCAGAGUUGGAACUUGCUAGAGCUAGACGAUCGAUUCAGCGAGCGGCUACUGUUCGUAACCUUUCUUAGCUUUUGCAAAACGGUGACGUUUUGUCCGGUGAUAUCUAUCAUAACCCCGGCGAGUUUUAUCAUUCGGGCAUGUUCAUAAGUGCUUAUGAGGACAAAACGGGGAUCUUGGAUCAAACUGAGAAGAAAAUAGAACGGGCUACAAUGAUCCCAAGAAGUUACGGAGAGCUGGUCUCAGGUGGGUGUUGAUGGGGCCCAUGAAGUUUUUUUUGUUUAGAAGCACCGGUGGCCCUUGCGUGGAGAAGGGAACACAAAAUACCAAGUAUAUUCAAAGUGUUGUUUUUGUGAUACUUAUGAAACUGAGCUAAAAAUUUGUGGUGAGAAGGGAAAGAUGAUACUUUAGAGGUUCAAAGUGUUGUUUAUGUACUUUAGUUUUUUUCCUUAAAUUUUCGUUUCUCCCAACUAUUUAUGUUUUGAAAUUGUCUCAAACCUUAACAUUCAUAUGUAAAUAUAAACAUUUUUUUUAGGUAA